CAAAACAUGGCUUAAUGAAAAUAAUUUUAGGUCUGUCUGCCCAAUGAUUUAUAAUUAAAUGGCUGCAGUAUAAUUAACUGUACAAAGGUAGCAUAAUCAAUUGUUUUUUAAUUGAAAACUAGAAUGAAAGAAUUAAUGAGAUAUAUACUGUCUCAUAUAUAUGUUAUAAAAUUAAAUUUUUAGUUAAAAUUCUAAAAUAAAUUUAUGGGACGAUAAGACCCUAUAGAAUUUUAUAUUAAUAUUUAAAUUAAAUUAAAUUUUAAGUUUUAAUAUUUAAUUGGGAGGAUUAAUAAAUUUGAUUAACUUUAUUUAAAAUAUAAACUUUGAUUUAAGAAUAAUUAAUGAUCUUGUAUUAUGAAUUAAAAGAAAAAAUUACCUUAGGGAUAACAGCGUAAUAUCUUUUUAAAGAACGAAUUGAUAAAGAUGAUUGCGACCUCGAUGUUGAAUUAAGAUAAAUUUUAAAUGCAGAAGUUUAAUAAUUGAGUCUGUUCGACUUUUAAAAUCUUACAUGAUUUGAGUUCAAAUCGACGUGAGU
rnacentral:rRNA from 1 species